rnacentral:rRNA from 1 species
GACGAACGCUGGCGGCGUGCUUAACACAUGCAAGUCGAGCGGAGCGGCGAACGGGUGAGUAACGCGUGAGUAACUGGCCCCCUCUCUGGGAUAACAGUUGGAAACGGCUGAUAAUACCGGAUAGUGGGGGAUGACUCGCGUCCUAUCGGCUUGUUGGUGGGGGAGUGGCCUACCACGGCGACGACGGGUAGCCGGCCUGAGAGGGCGACCGGCCACCUUGGGCUGCGAGAGGGCCCAGAGUGCUACGGGGGGCAGCAGUGGGGAAUAUUACACAAUCGGGGAAACCCUGUUGCAGAGACGCCGGGGGUGUAAAGACCGCCUUCGGGUGGGAAACGGCUUUCAGCCAUGACGCGGUAGUGGCAGAAGAAGCACCGGCUAACUACGUGCCAGCAGCCGCGGUAAUAC